CCGUCGAUGGCAGAAUGGCAAUGCAUCCGGCUCUUAACCGGGCAAAUGAGGGUUCGAAUCCCUCUCGGCGGA
rnacentral:tRNA from 1 species